AGAGUUUGAUCCUGGCUCAGGAUGAACGCUGGCGGCGUGCCUAACACAUGCAAGUCGAACGGAGCUGCUUUGAUGAAGUUUUCGGAUGGAUUUAAAACAGCUUAGUGGCGGACGGGUGAGUAACGCGUGGGUAACCUGCCUCACACUGGGGGAUAACAGUUAGAAAUAGCUGCUAAUACCGCAUAAGCGCACGGUUCCGCAUGGAACAGUGUGAAAAACUCCGGUGGUGUGAGAUGGACCCGCGUCUGAUUAGCCAGUUGGCGGGGUAACGGCCCACCAAAGCGACGAUCAGUAGCCGGCCUGAGAGGGUGAACGGCCACAUUGGGACUGAGACACGGCCCAAACUCCUACGGGAGGCAGCAGUGGGGAAUAUUGCACAAUGGGGGAAACCCUGAUGCAGCGACGCCGCGUGAGUGAAGAAGUAUUUCGGUAUGUAAAGCUCUAUCAGCAGGGAAGAAAGUGACGGUACCUGACUAAGAAGCCCCGGCUAACUACGUGCCAGCAGCCGCGGUAAUACGUAGGGGGCAAGCGUUAUCCGGAUUUACUGGGUGUAAAGGGAGCGUAGACGGCAAGGCAAGUCUGAAGUGAAAGCCCGGUGCUUAACGCCGGGACUGCUUUGGAAACUGUUUGGCUGGAGUGCCGGAGAGGUAAGCGGAAUUCCUAGUGUAGCGGUGAAAUGCGUAGAUAUUAGGAAGAACACCAGUGGCGAAGGCGGCUUACUGGACAGUAACUGACGUUGAGGCUCGAAAGCGUGGGGAGCAAACAGGAUUAGAUACCCUGGUAGUCCACGCCGUAAACGAUGAUUGCUAGGUGUAGGUGGGUAUGGACCCAUCGGUGCCGCAGCUAACGCAAUAAGCAAUCCACCUGGGGAGUACGUUCGCAAGAAUGAAACUCAAAGGAAUUGACGGGGACCC
rnacentral:rRNA from 1 species